rnacentral:rRNA from 1 species
GACGAACGCUGGCGGCGUGCUUAACACAUGCAAGUCGAGCGGAAAGGCUCCUUCGGGGGUACUCGAGCGGCGAACGGGUGAGUAACACGUGAGUAAUCUGCCCUGCGCUCUGGGAUAGCCACCGGAAACGGUGAUUAAUACCGGAUAGGACCACUUCACGCAUGUGAUGGUGGUGGAAAGUUUUUUCGGCGCAGGAUGUGCUCGCGGCCUAUCAGCUUGUUGGUGAGGUAAUGGCUCACCAAGGCUUUGACGGGUAGCCGGCCUGAGAGGGUGACCGGUCACACUGGGACUGAGACACGGCCCAGACUCCUACGGGAGGCAGCAGUGGGGAAUAUUGGACAAUGGGCGGAAGCCUGAUCCAGCAACGCCGCGUGAGGGAUGACGGCCUUCGGGUUGUAACCCUCUUUCAGUACCGACGAAGCGAAAGUGACGGUAGGUACAGAAGAAGGACCGGCCAACUACGUGCCAGCCGCCGCCGUAACAC